GAGUAACACGUGGGCAACCUGCCCCUGACUCUGGGAUAACACCGGGAAACCGGCGCUAAUACCGGAUACUCCAUCUUGGCGGCAUCGCCGAGCUGGGAAAAAAUUUUGAUGAAAGAUGGUCUCGCGGCCUAUCAGCUAGUUGGUGAGGUAAAGGCUCACCAAGGCGACGACGGGUAGCCGGCCUGAGAGGGCGACCGGCCACACUGGGACUGAGACACGGCCCAGACUCC
rnacentral:rRNA from 1 species